rnacentral:rRNA from 1 species
UACGUAGGGACCAAGCGUUGUUCGGAUUUCCUGGGCGUAAAGGGCGCGUAGGCGGCAAUUCAAGUCAUCUGUGAAAUCUCCGGGCUUAACUCGGAACGGUCAGAUGAUACUGCUUUGCUAGAGUGCGGAAGGGGCAAUCGGAAUUCUCGGUGUAGCGGUGAAAUGCGUAGAUAUCGAGAGGAACACCUGAGGUGAAGACGGGUUGCUGGGCCGACACUGACGCUGAGUGCGCGAAAGCCAGGGGAGCAAACGGG